rnacentral:tRNA from 1 species
GGGGACGUAGCUCAGCUGGGAGAGCGUCGCGUUCGCAAUGCGAAGGUCGGGAGUUCGAUCCUCCUCGUCUCCCACCA